GACGAACGCUGGCGGCGUGCCUAAUACAUGCAAGUCGAACGCAGUGGGGAUGGGUGAGUCACACGUGGGUAACCUCCCCUCAGAGGGGAUAACACUUGGAAACAGGUGCUAAACCGAUACUGAUGGAUGGAACCGCGGUGCAUUAGCUAGUUGGUGAGGAAACGGCUCACCAAGUCAACGAUGAAUAGCCGACAUGGGAGGGUGAUCGGCCGAACUGGGACUGAGACACGGCCCAGACUCCGACGGGAGGAAGCAGUAGGGAAUCUUCGGCAAUGGACGAAAGUCUGACCGAGCAACGCCGCGUGAGUGAAGAAGGUUUUCGGAUCGUAAAACUCUGUUGUUAGAGAAGCGGUAUCUAACCAGAAAGCCACGGCUAACUACGUGCCAGCAGCCGCGGUAAUUC
rnacentral:rRNA from 1 species